GGAAAGCACAAGUAUGUCAGGAGUAAUUAUAAAGUUGAUGACAACAUUGCCCUUGCAAACAGUGAGAUGUGUAAACUUGAGAUUGCAAGAAGUGGAAAGGAAAAGGCUACAUUUAACACAACAAACCUGAUAAGGCACCUUAAAAACAAACAUUCGACACAAUACAGGUAGUUUACCCACGCAACCCAACCGAACACGAAUUAAAUAAAAAUCAAGUAACAUCCUGGAUCUGUUUCGUCACUCAUCUUUAUCUUUAUUUAAAUUUUUAUUAUUUUUUUUGUAAUAUAGAAGUAUCGGAUUGGGUUUCAGUAUCGGUAUACUCAAACUCAAAUGCUCCGAAUCCAGGACAAAAAAAAAAAAAAAACAGAUUAUCACUUUUCUAAUUCCAUUUCACUUGGAAAGUGUCACAAUUAAUAAUGUUGGUAGCAUCUUCAAAUUUGCAGACUUCAAGAAUUAUUUGUCCUAAUAAACUUUAGGUUCACUGAAGAAAAAAUAAACAAACAAGAAUAAUUGCUGUUUGUUAAUUAAAAGAGUAUCCAUACACAUGUACACAAAUGGUGGGAUUGUAUGAAAUGUAUGGAGAAACCAAUAUAAUUUAUUUAAAAAUACAUACUAUUUAUAUAUAGAUAGUAUGAAAGAACUGCAUCAUUCCCUAAUGUUUUUCCCUACGUUUAUUUUUUCUUGUAUAACAAUUUCAGCACUUGUACAGUAAAAUAGCAAGUGAUCGAGGACAAUGGAGACAGUAGAUAAAAGAAUCAUUUCCCCCUCUCCUUCUGUGUUGUCUAAUAAACAAAAUCAUGUUAUCAGUUUGCCUGGGUCUCCAGGGAUUGAAACCUCAACUCUCCAAAGAUUACUAAACUGGCAAUAUGGUCCCUAAAUACAUUUCUCGUAUGUUCCCCAAACUCACUAAUGAACAUCUCAUCCACACAGCAGUUAACACUGCUUGCAUCAUUCUCUCUCUCUCUUUUUCUCCUUCAAUAGUUGUUGUUUUGCUCGCUAUGAAGCUGAUGUCUUCAUCAGGCUGUCAGAAAGGAAGAGCCCGCAGCUGUGGCAGGUCCCCCAGAGCCUGUCGCACUCCUUGUUUCCAUGGUAGUCCUUCAGGCAGCACCAUGGGCAGACUGUGUGCAAGGACCCCUACAACCUGUUUCAUUUUUUUUUUCUCCUGAUAUGCAGCCCCGAAGCGGGCGUCAAACUAAAAUACCAAGUGUACUGCAAUACUAUUUUGCAGGUGCGGAAUGCUCUUUUUAAAAGCACUGCCAACCAAGUCUCAUUUCCCGUUUCCUCAAUUGUGUCUACAUUCCUAAAAUGACCCUCCCUCGUCUCAACACGUAUUCCUGCUGAGGCAGCGAUAAACACAAUCUCCUUGUUAACCUAAAGAUGUCACAUUAUUUUACAUCUGAUUUGCUUUCCUUAGUAGCAAGUCAAAAUAAAAAACACACGAGAGACUCGGCGGGUUUCUGAGGGGCUCAACGUCGCUGUAUUGAGAUCGCCAAGGUCACGGCUCAGUUCUGACACCAAUAACGUAAGGGGGCUUUCCUGGAAUCAGACACUAAUGAGAUCCAAAUGACAAGGUUGAUUGUUUUCACUCUUCUCCCCAACCGAGGAUCUCAACCUACAAGCUCAGCCUGCAGAAGAGAUUCCCAAUCCUCCUCCUGAAGGAAAACAGCACCGUAUGCAGAUGAACAAAGACUAGCAAAGACUAUUACGUGAUAUAAUGCAAUGUGACUCUCAGCCUCCUGAGGAAAGAACGCAAUAUUUGGCUUGAUGAAUCUACUGGAGCCACUCGCAGUUUCUCUUCUCACCUCAUGGGAUUCAGCCGCCAUUUUAAAGAACCAAAGCGAGGCUGCGGUGGGAAGAAACCCGGAAGUAUUGAACCAGUACUGUAAACAUUGCAGUGACAUGCUGUGGACUAUAAACCUCCAGUUGUUGCAGAGAUUUCAAAAUGCAGAAAUGUUGUAAACAUCACUUCAAUAUCAUUCAGUAAGUUUCAUUUAAACUUGUGAACCGAUGACCUUCUCGGCCAAUCACAGUCAUUUCUGUUAAACACGUGAACAAAAAGGCAAAUUAGAGCUGUUUUAAGAAAGCCAUCAACAGUGCCUUAAAUGUGUGCAGUAAAUUGACAGUUUUUCUUUUAAUUCAGUAACGUGACAAGUCUAAAAUAGUUAUAAAUUUACUUUUGUGCCUGGAGCAAUUAGGUUAUGUAAUAAAUGUAGUUAAUCUAUGGACUAUUAUUUGUUUUUUGAACUUGCUGUUAAGUGUUGAUGUUUAUUGUGUUAAGUGUGUCAGUCUUGUUAUACUAUAUAAAGCACCACCACGUCGAAACAAAUUGCCCCAAAGGGGAUUAAUAAAGUUUUAAACUUAACUAAAAACUAAAGAAUCAGUUUAUCAACUUAAGCUUGAUAAAAGGCAUCUAAAACGUGUGCUUGGGAAAGGAAACAGCUAACUAGUGCCAUUUACUUUAACUUA